rnacentral:rRNA from 1 species
GACGAAGGGGGCUAGCGUUGUUCGGAAUUACUGGGCAUAAAGCGCGUGUAGGCGGUUGCCCAAGUCGGGUGUGAAAGCCUUGAGCUCAACUCAAGAAAUGCACUCGGUACUGGGUGACUAGAGGACCGGAGAGGAUAGUGGAAUUCCCAGUGUAGUGGUGAAAUACGUAGAGAUUGGGAAGAACACCAGUGGCGAAGGCGGCUAUCUGGACGGUUUCUGACGCUAAGACGCGAAAGCGUGGGGAGCAAACAGG